ensembl:lncRNA
CCCGCCCAAUCGCCCAGUGCCGUUCAAGAAGGUCGCCUGCGGUCAUGGUGAGCUCCUAGAAGGAGCCCGCCACCUCGUGGGGGAUCAGCGAAGCCUAACCACCGGGGUCCCGCCUCCUUGGGGGCUGCUUGGCUGCUUAGUCCUGGACCCUCUGAUGGCCGGAGGUGGCCACAGCAGAACAUGUGGAAGAUAGAGCUGGUGAGUGCUGGGCUCCCUGAGCUCCGUGAGGCCAACUCGGGCUGGCCGGUGACGCUGGCCACCUGUGAGGCAACCGGCCCAUGUUCCCAUCCCAGAACGCCUGCGAGGUGCUCUUCACGUCACUGCGGAAGAGCCUGGGGUCCAAGGACAGUGGCAAGAUUGUCUUCAAGACAGCUUGGGUUACCUGGACACAGUGCAUUAUAUUGAAUAUAUUGAAUAGAACACAAAGAACUGCGCAUCAGGUGAUGAGCCUGGACUUCUAUGUUCAAUGUUGUUAAUGGACAAGUUUGUGUAGUUACUCUUGGUAAAAAGAUGAGUGAGUGCUCAAUCGCUCAGUGAGGUCCAACUCUUUGCAACUACAUGGACUAUAGCCCACCAGGGUCCUCUGUCCAUGGGACUUCCCAGGCAAGAAUAUUGGAAUUGAUUGACAUUUCUCCUCCAGAGGAUCUUCCCCACUCAGGGAUUUAACCUACACGGGAAUAAAAUACUGUUAUAUUUACCUAUUCCUGGGAGUGUGUGUGUGCGUGCACUCAGUCAUGUCUGAG